UUGCUAAUUUCAGUAGUACAUAUACUAAAAUUGUAACAAUACAAAGAAGAUUAGGAUGGCCCUGUGCAAGGAUGACACACAAAUUUGUGAAGGAUUCCAUUUUUGA
ensembl:snRNA U6 U6 spliceosomal RNA